rnacentral:rRNA from 16 species
UAACAGCUCACUAGUCGAGCGGCGUUGCGUGGAUGAUGAGCGGGCAUAAAGACUGCCGCCGAAGCUUUGGGCGCGGCGAGAGCCGCGCGGUAGGGGAGCAUUCCGGACGGCGCCGAAGGCUUACCGCGAGGUGGGCUGGAGCGUCCGGAAAAGAAAAUGUAGGCAUGAGUAACGACAAGGGGGGUGGGAUUCCCCCCCGCCG